AGUUACCUACAUGAUCAAAUCAAAUAAUUUUAGAACACAUUAAUAUUUAUAUAAUAAGAUUAAAAACCUUUGCAUCUCUGACCAUCAAUUAAUAAACCCAUGAGGUAUGAACUGUGUUAAGCAUUUUAUUUAUUUAUUUAUUUUGUUGAAAUGUAAAUACAUGAAAUACAAAAAUAAAUAAAACUAUCAUACUCAUCCUAUAACCUUUGAUAUUAUUAAUUUC
rnacentral:lncRNA from 1 species